CAGUCGCCACGGGAAAACGAAGGGUGCAAGCGUUAAUCGGAAUUACUGGGCGUAAAGAGCUCGUAGGCGGUCUGUCGCGUCGAAUGUGAAAAUCCGAGGCUCAACCUCGGACCUGCAUUCGAUACGGGCAGACUAGAGUUCGGUAGGGGGGUCUGGAAUUCCUGGUGUAGCGGUGAAAUGCGCAGAUAUCAGGAGGAACACCGGUGGCGAAGGCGGGACUCUGGGCCGAUACUGACGCUGAGGAGCGAAAGCGUGGGGAGCAAACAGGAUUAGAUACCCCAGUAGUCCCUGUCUCUUAUAC
rnacentral:rRNA from 1 species